rnacentral:rRNA from 1 species
AAAAGAAAAUAACAAUGAUUUCCCUAGUAACGGCGAGUGAAGAGGAAAGAGCUCAAAGUUGGAACCUAUUUGGCUUAGCUAAAUCGGAUUGUAAACUGUAGAAGUGUUUUCCAGACACGCCUGGUAAAAAAGUCCUUUGGAACAGGGCAUCAUAGAGGGUGAGAAUCCCGUCAUUGGCCAGAGCUGUUGUCUUUUGUGAUACAUUUUCAAAGAGUCAGGUUGUUUGGGAAUGCAGCCUAAAUUGGGUGGUAAAUCUCACCUAAAGCUAAAUAUUUGCGAGAGACCGAUAGCGAACAAGUACCGUGAGGGAAAGAUGAAAAGAACUUUGAAAAGAGAGUUAAACAGUAUGUGAAAUUGUUAAAAGGGAACCGUUUGGAGCCAGACUGGCUUAAUCGUAAUCAAUCUAGGCUUUGGCCUGGAUGCACUUGCGGUUUAUGCCGGCCAACGACAGUUUUGUUUGGGAGAAAAAAUUACAUUGAAUGUGGCCCCUCGGGGUGUUAUAGCUUUGUAAAAAAUAUCCUGGACUGGACUGAGGAACGCAGUGAAUGCCUUUAGGCAAGAUUGCUGGGUGCUUUCACUAAUAAAUGCUAGAAUUUCUGCUUCGGGUGGUGCUAGUGUUUAAAGGAGGAACUCGCCUGGUAUAUUUUUUAUUCGCUUAGG